AUGCAUUCACUUAUUGCAAGCGAAUCAUCCUAUAUUAUUCUCAUUGCACUGUACAUAGUCUGCUCGCACGAAAUCUAUUUUGUUUCAUGCAAGAAGUCAAGAACUAUCAUCCAACUUGAACUUUUGGGGAUCACUAUUCACACCUUACAAUUGCUUUGCAGGAUAACCUUCACCCUGACUGUGCAGCACUGUAGUAUGGCUACGGUGAUUGGCGUGUGCCUCAGGCUUAAGUUGAUGCAAAACCCGCGAGACUACACCACUGGUCGUCGACCUGCCCCACAGCAGGCAGACCCUCAACAUCAUUGUCAUCAUGGCCGGGACACCAGGUGUCGGUGUCAAAACCGGCGGAUCUCGGACACCGGAGGGGGCUAG
rnacentral:rRNA from 1 species